AUCAGCAAGUUUAACCUGUUUCGUAGCUAUAUAAGGCAGACGCCCACUGGGGUGUGGGUGCUUGCUUUGCGAACGAUUGCCAAGCACCACUUUCUGCGCAGAAAUAAAGAUUAAGUUGGAUCCUUCACCCCGUGUGUUUAUUGACACAAGCGCACCGGGCACGAUCUCACUGAUCUUUGGGGACAACAAUUUCUGGCAACCCAGAUGGGACACUAGCUGACUGCCUUGCCCGAUCCACCUCUUCGGCUCCGGCAACAACUGUGGACGGCGCAAGGGCCAGGCGCCACCGACCUUAUUCGUCGGAGGUCUGACCGUCUCCUGGUUGCCUGACGGAGUCGGGGAGGGGCACAACGGCGCAACGCUUGAAGGACCAACUUAAUCAGGUGGGGCGAGGAAGGUUUCAACGGACUGGUAUGUCCAGGAAUGACUUCCACUCCCUCUAGAUACACCAGUCCACAAGUUCCAGAUCGGAGACGAAGUGCUGGUCCGGACGUGGAAAGACGAGCCGCUUCAGCCCAGGUGGAAGGGACUGUAUCCUGUGAUUCUCACCACUCACGCUGCAGUAAAAGUUCAGGGGGUAAAGCUGUGGAUACACUACACCCGGGUGAAGGCCGCACCAGAAGUACCACCGGCAGGAGAAGUGGCUGAGAGUGUCGCACCAGAAGCCGACAUAAACGGACACCGUUGGACAGCAGAGCCAGUAGAAGGACUUAAAUUUCUGUUUAAACGUCAACCAUGUGGAAAGUAGUUCUUUGCAUAGGUGUAAUGUUUCUAGAGUCUAAGGGGUUGGUGCAUCAAAGGUUCAAUAAGCAUCAAAAUGUGUGGGUUCAUUUGGCAAAGGACGUAUUAAAUGUCACUCAUUUUUGUUUGGCAGGUGGAAUAUCAGUUGAUGAUAUUUUCACGUCAUGCCUUAUAGGGGUGCCCAUUCCAAUGGAAGCACUCCGGAAUCAGACUUGGUUCGCAUCUGGGGGAAUAGGAGGUCCAAUCAAUUACACUAACAACUCCAUGGGGGGAACCAUUACCACAGAAAGAAACGCUAGUACCUUUGAAAUAGAUUUGUUGACAGUCACCUCCCCUGGUAACACCAGCUGUGCCAAUUUUGUGAACUGUACCCAAGCUUGCAAAAGCCUAACCAAAGAAACGAAAAUUUUCAAUUGCUCAGACAUGACUAAUGUAUCAUGCAACUACGUUCAUGUUAUAUUACCCCGGGGGUGGUUCCUCCUUUGUGGGAAGACUGCCUAUUCAUAUAUCCCAGCCAAUGCCACAGGAGGCCCUUGUGCUCUAGGCCGGUUGACUGUCUGGCUACCAGGUAUGCCUCUAGUAAGCGUCACCGGAGAGGUUCGAAGGUGCUAGAUGAAUCCUGUGAUAGUGACAUAAACCUCCUGAGUGAGGCCAAGGUAGUGUCCUUAGAAGUUUUCCUAGUAGGGGUGCCAGGCCUAGUAGUGGACGCUGAAAGGCAGCUUGGUAAGGUGGCCUGUGCCCUGGCAAAGGGCCUAAAUACAACUUCACAGGCCCUAGCUGCCCUCAAUAUUGAAAUGAAAGAACUAA